UCCUCUUAAUGCCGAUUACAUGAACAUGUGUUCAUGUUUAUAUUUGACACAAAUCGAACAGGCCAUUUAAAAUUAAUACUGUGAACAUAAAUCUUAAAACAGAACAGGUCAUAAAAUGGAUUGGGAAAGACAGUAUCGGGAAUUCGUACAUCACUUCAACAAUUUGGAUAUUCACCAGUCUGUGACACUAAUUCUUGAAGUUCAUAUGGCUCAAAAACAUGGGCGAUACUGGAGAAGGAAGCCAAGAAAGAUACGAACAGAAGAUAAAUUUUUAGUAGCUUUAAAAUGUUUCUUUAUUAUAAUUAUGUGCAUGAUCAGAUAUUCGUUUGGAGAGUUCGGUAUUUUUAAAGAAUUGUCAUAUACAUUUAGACGGAUGAAUAGCCUUCUUUAAAAAUUGUGCAUUUACCAAGUUUGGAGAAAAAUAAGAUUAACAUUUCAAAUCCUUUAGAAUGCUACGAUAUAUUUAACUUUGUAUUGUUAGUAUAUGUGGAAAUUGAGAUACAUGUUAAUAUUUAUGUAUAGUUUAGAUAAUAAAUGUUACUAUCACUAGAGCAAAAGUAAUUAAAAUCUUAAAAACAAAUUAUAGCCAAAGUUUGUCUUUUAUAAAGCGAUAAAAAAUGAGCUUACUUAAACUAGUACUUAAGAGCUAAUGUCUUAUUUUGUAAAGUUAUGUAUUGUAGAUUUUCUUUACAAGACUGUUGUUACGUCAUUCAUUGUUUUAUACUGUGUAUAAAAUAAAAUAUAUUCAAUUCAAUAUAUGUAAUA